UACAGAGGGUGCGAGCGUUAAUCGGAAUUACUGGGCGUAAAGCGCGCGUAGGCGGCUUUGCAAGUCGGGUGUGAAAUCCCCAGGCUUAACCUGGGAACUGCAUUCGAGACUGCAUUGCUAGAGUAUGGGAGAGGGAAGUGGAAUUUCCGGUGUAGCGGUGAAAUGCGUAGAUAUCGGAAGGAACAUCAGUGGCGAAAGCGACUUCCUGGACCAAUACUGGCGCUCAUGUGCGAAAGCGUGGGGAGCAAACAGG
rnacentral:rRNA from 1 species